rnacentral:rRNA from 1 species
AAUAAGCGGAGGAAAAGAAACCAACAGGGAUUGCCUCAGUAACGGCGAGUGAAGCGGCAACAGCUCAAAUUUGAAAUCUGGCUCUUUCAGGGUCCGAGUUGUAAUUUGUAGAAGAUGUUUCGGGUGCGGCGCUGGUUUAAGUCCCUUGGAACAGGGCGUCAUAGAGGGUGAGAAUCCCGUAUGUAACCGGUGACCAACCCCAUGUGAAACUCCUUCGACGAGUCGAGUUGUUUGGGAAUGCAGCUCAAAAUGGGUGGUAAAUUUCAUCUAAAGCUAAAUACCGGCCAGAGACCGAUAGCGCACAAGUAGAGUGAUCGAAAGAUGAAAAGCACUUUGGAAAGAGAGUUAAAAAGUACGUGAAAUUGUUGAAAGGGAAGCGCUCGCAACCAGACCUGCCCUCGGACGAUCAGCGGUGGUUCUCCACCGUGUACUCGUUCGUGAUCAGGCCAGCAUCGGUUUUGGCGGUCGGAUAAAGAUUCUUGGAAUGUAGCUCCCUUCGGGGAGUGUUAUAGCCUCGGAUGUAAUACGGCCAGCCGGGACUGAGGACCGCGCUUCGGCUAGGAUGCUGGCGUAAUGGUUGUGAGCGACC